GCAAGGGAAGGCCGUCCACGUCGGUAAAAACGACUUCUACCGUCAGAUGGUAAAUCAACCACCUGUAUUCAUCCCACUUGCGAUGUUACUGUAGCAGUAAAUAUCUCCACUUCGAGAGCUUUCUUCGACAGCCUCGUUUUGCUCAGAUCCGGCCGCCUCAGUCUCCACCCCACGCGGCCACGCCCGUCGCCUGCUCUGAUCCGCCUCCGUUCCGGCCGCCCCCACUCCGCCGCUGUCGCUAUCUGCUCUGCGCCCCGUCUCCUCGCUCGCGGCCGGCCAAGCGGCGACCCGCGGCCGUCGCUCCCCUCACGCGGCCAUAACAGCGUCGUUGCCACCCGCCCGCGGUCGGUCCGGCAAGGCGGCGCAUGCGACCGUCCCGGCGCCAACGCUCUUCGCCCAAGGCCGGUCCGAUCCUCCGGCGCCAACGCGGCCUGCCCUGCACUCCAUCUCCUCACACACGGCCGGCAAGGCGAGGGCCGUCGCUCCCCGCCUGGGGGCUGACGGGCACCCUCCUCACGCUGGGCGCCAGCAUGCCCCCAAGAGCCCUGUCCGCCAUGGCCUCUGUCGCGCGGCUCUCCCUGCCGUGCCACCUCCCUGCACCCCUGCCCCCCCCCCCCGGCCGCUGCGCUUCGCCGCUCACCCUACGCCGCCGCCGCCGCCGCCGCAGCGCCGAUGCGCCCCUAUGCCCUCCACAGCCGGUGGAGGUCUCACGCCGCCGAGGGCGAGGCGCAGGACCAGGUCUAGCAGCUGCAGAACGAUGCUCCCAUAUUGCAGCAUCAUCGAGCGCAAGCAGAAGAAGACCAUCGACGAGAUGGAGCAGGAGUUCCUCCAGGCCAUCAUGUCCAACGAGGAGUUGGAUAACCUCAAAGAGGAGCUCAUGUGGGAAGGCAGCAGCGUUGUCAUGCUAAGUAAUAACCGCGUUCAUGCCCGGAUGAGCAAAGGCUUUUGCAAGCCACCAUGGCAAAUAUCGCUGGCAACCCCAUCAUGACGGAUACUGCUGAAUACGAUGCCCUCAAGUUCAGAUUAAUAGUUAGAUCUAGCUGCCCUAUUAAUCUUUUAUUUUAGUAGUACAGUCAAAGUGAGAUGUUAUUUGAAACACUUUUAAUACUAUUUUGUCACCACCCGCCAAAUCUUUUUGCAAGAACUCGGGCUGUAAUAGAUUCUAGAUGAUCUUUGAUUUAAGUAAGACUGAGGCUGGCUUGAGCCCUAAACCUCUAAAAAAAUGUUUCUGAAAGUGUCAAAAUGGUUCACUGUAAUUCUUAGCUCGUACCAACCAAUAUUACUGCUUGACUAAGGAUAGUUGGUCUCCAUUUCUCAAGUUUAUGACUAGAAUAGCUACAAAGCAAUAGGCAAAAAUAUUCGAUGGAAGAAACUCAAUGGAAUCCUGAAAACCCCAUGUUUGCAUGUUUUGAAACAUUCUAAAUAAAAAUAUGGUCAUGAUUUUUCGAAGAGCUAGAGAAGUUGGCUUAGUUGAAGGUAUUGGCUGCACUGGCACUCUGAAGUUCUUUUUUUUUUAAAAAAACUUGAACACAUAUGCAUUCCUUAUGUUUUUCUUAGUAUGUACAACUAAAAAAAAAAGUAAUUCUACUAUCUUCUAAUUCUAGUCAGAGCUAGCUAAUUGUAAUCAGAGCAGUCCUACAAGGAUCCUACUAGCCCCAAUAUGCACUUCUAGCUAAUUAUUUCCAGUAAGAGCAAUUUUACUGUGAUCCUAUUAAGGCAUGAUGAAGUUUUCCUAAUUCCUCGAUGGAGCCGAGCAGAGGCAGAGCAGCUGAGCAGCGCAGUCGAUUUGUUUGGCUUCAUCCAAUGUUUUAUUUUCCUCUUUUUUACUGGUUUCCCAUAGUAUUCAUUCGCAAGGAUUUUCCUAACUGAGAUUCACAUUUGUCUCUUCGUUUUACAGGUUCUACAUUUAAUUUUGUUUCAUCCAUUUUCAUUUUCAUUUUCUGCUUACUUGGGUUACCUGUAGUUCGAAUCAAACUAUAAGGAAGUGCUACUCACAUUAAUUUGCCCCUUUUAGUUUUCUUGACUUCUUGAUCGACCUUGCAGAUCUAAGGAAGUGCUGAUAAUGGAUAUGUGCUUGCCAAGCUACUGACAGUUUUCAAGCAUCUAAGCAAACAGGUUCACAGCAGAUUCUUCAUUGAUAUGGACUAUUGGAUUAUAACUAACAAAUGGAAUACUGUGAAGUUUGUGCACUUCAUCCUUCACAUCGCAGAUGAAUGCUUCCAAGGAUUUUUUUCAGCUAAGGACCUGGACAAGAAUGUGGCUCCUCACUUCCAGAAAGCUGACAAAUUUUAUGAUGCCCUUGCCAGACAGCUGUUCCAUGUUGGAGAAACUUCUGAAGAUCGUAUUGGAAGUGAUAGAUCAAAAUACUCUGCAUCAUACAUACUUUUAUAGGUCGCAGAUACUUCAAUGCUUUCUUUUCUUGCCAUCACAGAGCAAAAGUAUCUUGAGGGCAUGGUUAAUCCUCCUAGAAUUGAUACGUAAUAUGUUUACCUCUGCUGCUGCAUAAAUAUCAAGCUAUUUCAGGAACCAAAUAUGGCACCCAUUACAGCCAUGUCCUGAGAAUAUAUCAACCCUAGCUGAUGACUUGUGCAUCUGUGAAGCGCUUAUUAUUUUGCCAAGAAUCAGGUAUUACUAAGCAAUCUAGCUGCGUGCUGCAUGAAACCAACUUAGCGUCCAACAGUGUCCAAGCUCUUACCAAUGAACACUACUUUAUGAUGUAACAGCUAAUGUAUUUACGUCUCUUAUUAACUGCACCUUUAGAGUGCCUGUUCCAAUGACAUGCGUGUUGUAUCACCCCUUAUUACGGUUAUGAGAUCAUCACCGUCUUUUACUCAA